rnacentral:ncRNA from 1 species
GAGUUUGAUCAUGGCUCAGAUUGAACGCUGGCGGCAGGCCUAACACAUGCAAGUCGAACGGCAGCACAGAAGAGCUUGCUCUUUGGGUGGCGAGUGGCGGACGGGUGAGUAAUGUCUGGGAAACUGCCCGAUGGAGGGGGAUAACUACUGGAAACGGUAGCUAAUACCGCAUAACGUCGCGAGACCAAAGUGGAGGACCUUCGGGCCUCACACCAUCGGAUGUGCCCAGAUGAAAUUAGCUAGUAGGUGGGGUAAUGGCUCACCUAGGCGACGAUCCCUAGCUGGUCUGAGAGGAUGACCAGCCACACUGAAACUGAGACACGGUCCAGACUCCUACGGAAGGCAGCAGUGAGGAAUAUUGCACAAUGGGCGCAAGCCUGAUGCAGCCAUGCCGCGUGUAUGAAGAAGGCUUUCGGGUUGUAAAGUACUUUCAGCGGGGAGGAAGGCGGUGAGGUUAAUAGCCUCGCCGAUUGACGUUACCCGCAGAAGAAGCACCGGCUAACUCCGUGCCAGCAGCUGCGGUAAUACGGAGGGUGCAAGCGUUAAUCGGAAUUACUGGGCGUAAAGCGCACGCAGGCGGUCUGUUAAGUCAGAUGUGAAAUCCCCGGGCUUAACCUGGGAACUGCAUUUGAAACUGGCAGGCUUGAGUCUCGUAGAGGGGGGUAGAAUUCCAGGUGUAGCGGUGAAAUGUGUAGAGAUCUGGAGGAAUACCGGUGGCGAAGGCGGCCCCCUGGACGGAGACUGACGCUCAGGUGCGAAAGCGUGGGGAGCAAACAGGAUUAGAUACCCUGGUAGUCCACGCCGUAAACGAUGUCGACUUGGAGGUUGUGCCCUUGAGGCGUAACUUCCGGAGCUAACGCGUUAAGUCGACCGCC